rnacentral:rRNA from 1 species
CACCGCGGUUAUACGAGAGGCCCAAGUUGACAACCGCCGGCGUAAAGCGUGGUUAAGUUUAAAUUAGCACUAAAGCCGAACGAACACAAAGCUGUUAUACGCAUUCGAAACCAGAAGCUCAAUUACGAAAGUAGCUUUAUACUAACCGAACCCACGAAAGCUAGGGCA